CCUGCCCGGGCGUCACGGAAACCCUGGAUGACGACAGGUGCCUCCUGGCUCCUGGGAUUGCGGUGGGGGGCCAAGGGUCACCCUGAGUCAGCCGGACCGAGUAGGCGCAGGGGGCGUUGAUGCGGUCCGGCAGGGGUGCCCCAGGGGCCGCAGGUGUGAGCACUGUUCGGACUGUCCCAGAGGAGCUGCGACGCGGACCGCAGAGGUCUAGAUGCCCCGAUGCCCAGGAGCUGCCUCCCAAGAAGAGAGAUCACCUGUGCACCCCCUGCAAGGGAAUGGGAAGCUGCUUCUGGAAGCAGAGGCUCUUCUGGGUACUGGAAACUUCAGCUAUGAAAGACUGCCGUCAAGGAGCCGGCACCCUGGCAGGGACAUGCUGAACAGACAACUCACACCUGGAACGUGUGUACACCUGUGGCCCGUCUCUCCCGCCGUAACGAACGGUCUAGAAGGACAUUGCCUAUCUUGUCCAUGGCUCUAGCUCCAGCACAUAGGACAGUGGUGACCAGCACACCCGAGGUGCUCAGUGAACACGUGUUGAAUGCGUCCCCCCCCCUCCAGUGAAGCCCUAACUCCCCAUCCCUGUUAAUGCGACCUUAUUUGGUAAUGAUCGAUCAAGUUGAGGUCAUCAGGGUGGGCUCUGAUCCAAUAUGGCCGUGUCCUUACAAAAAAGGGGAGACUGAAGACAGACACAUAUAGAGGGAAAGGUGAUGUGAAGACACAGAAAG